rnacentral:misc_RNA from 1 species
UUUCCGUAGGUGAACCUGCGGAAGGAUCAUUAUUGUAUAACCGAGGUGCGAGGGCUGUCGCUGACCCGAAAGGUCGUGCACGCCCGAGUGCCCUCACACACAUCCAUCUCACCCCUAUGUGCACCACCGCGUGGGUCCCCCUUUGGCUUGUUCGGAGGGGGGCUUACGUUUUCACACAAACUUUGUAUGCAGUGUAGAAUGUAUUUUUUGUUUUUGCGAUCACGCAAUCAAUACAACUCUCAACAACGGAUCUCUUGGCUCUCGCAUCGAUGAAGAAAGCAGC